rnacentral:rRNA from 1 species
GAUGAACGCUGGCGGCGUGCCUAAUACAUGCAAGUCGAGCGAACAGACGAGGAGCUUGCUCCUCUGACGUUAGCGGCGGACGGGUGAGUAACACGUGGAUAACCUACCUAUAAGACUGGGAUAACUUCGGGAAACCGGAGCUAAUACCGGAUAACAUGUUGAACCGCAUGGUUCACCAGUGAAAUACGGUCUUGCUGUCACUUAUAGCUGGAUCCGCGCCGCAUUAGCUAGUUGGGAAGGUAACGGCUUACCAAGGCAACGAUGCGUAGCCGACCUGAGAGGGUGAUCGCCCACACGGGAACUGAGACACGUUCCAGACACCGACGGGAGGCAGCAGUAGGGAAUCUUCCGCAAGGGGCGAAAGCCUGACGGAGCAACGCCGCGUGAGGGAAGAAGGUCUUCGGAUCGUAAAACUCUGUUAUUAGGGAAGAACAAAUGUGUAAGUAACUAUGCACGUCUUGACGGUACCUAAUCAGAAAGCCACGGCUAACUACGUG